ACGCAUAACACCCCUGACGAGAAGACACCGUGAUGGCGGAGGCUGCGAUCUCAACGCUCAUAGACACCAUGACAUACCUUAGUGUUGUGACUGACCGAAAAGCGCUUAUUGACUUGUUCAAUUACACAGAUGCCUCCCUCUCAAAUCCACAGGUCUUCUUGGAAUCUGGAUACUGUGAGGUGCCUCUUCUUCCCACAGUGAAGACAGACACACAAAUGAUUUGUGGAUUCUGUAAGUACUCUUCAAAAGCAGAGGGACCAUACGGAGUGUUCACCUAUGACAUUGUCAAAAAUAAGAGUGUAGCCUGCCGCCUUGCUGUCAUGUUCUCUGUGCCUUUUGACCGAAAUGUGUAUGAGAACUACUAUGGUUUGGGUAUUUUUGACAAAAAUCAAGUUUGUGAUGCUACUUUGCUGAAAAAAAUGUACUAUGAUGAGACACAGCAACCUUUCAAGAGGGCGGCUGCAAAUGGUGGUGAGAUUAGUUUUGAAGGUGAAGGUUACAUCAUCAAGGGAACCAUGUCUCAGAGUUCUGGCGCAUACGUGAUAGUACAUGUUAUCAAUAAGUAAUAUGAUGAAGUGAAAUAGAGAAUUGUACUUUCAUGAAAAGUUUUGUUUCAGAAUUUAAGAAUUAAUGGCAAAAAAAGCUUUAGUGAGCUAAUUCAGUCUUUUGUGUUAUUCUGUUUUAAAAUUCAUUUGUUAUUUUUCCUAAGAUGAAAAUGUUGUUGAGUUUGGAAUUUGUGAUUCCAGUGGCGUCAAUUUACUGUAAUGACUGAUGUAUUGAGAAUCAAUCCUGACCGAAAAGUCAGAAUCUGUAACCAAGACUAACAUUUUGUAAACAAGAGCACUGUCAUCUGUCAAGAUCUUAUAAAAGUGUU